GUCGAACGCUUCUUUUUCCACCGGAGCUUGCUCCACCGGAAAAAGAGGAGUGGCGAACGGGUGAGUAACACGUGGGUAACCUGCCCAUCAGAAGGGGAUAACACUUGGAAACAGGUGCUAAUACCGUAUAACAAUCGAAACCGCAUGGUUUUGAUUUGAAAGGCGCUUUCGGGUGUCGCUGAUGGAUGGACCCGCGGUGCAUUAGCUAGUUGGUGAGGUAACGGCUCACCAAGGCGACGAUGCAUAGCCGACCUGAGAGGGUGAUCGGCCACAUUGGGACUGAGACACGGCCCAAACUCCUACGGGAGGCAGCAGUAGGGAAUCUUCGGCAAUGGACGAAAGUCUGACCGAGCAACGCCGCGUGAGUGAAGAAGGUUUUCGGAUCGUAAAACUCUGUUGUUAGAGAAGAACAAGGAUGAGAGUAACUGUUCAUCCCUUGACGGUAUCUAACCAGAAAGCCACGGCUAACUACGUGCC
rnacentral:rRNA from 1 species